ACUAAACGCUGGCGGCGUGCCUAACACAUGCAAGUCGUACGAGAAAGUCGGCUUCGGCUGAUGAGUAAAGUGGCGCACGGGUGAGUAACGCGUGGAUAAUCUGCCCUUGAGUGUGGAAUAACGUACCGAAAGGUGCGCUAAUACCGCAUAAUGCCUGGCAACACAAGUUGUCCGGCCAAAGAAGGCCUCUGUUUACAAGCUUUUGCUCAAGGAUGAGUCCGCGUACCAUUAGCUAGUUGGUGGGGUAACGGCCUACCAAGGCUACGAUGGUUAGCUGGUCUGAGAGGAUGAUCAGCCACACUGGAACUGAGACACGGUCCAGACUCCUACGGGAGGCAGCAGUGAGGAAUAUUGCGCAAUGGGGGCAACCCUGACGCAGCAACGCCGCGUGAGUGAGGAAGGUUUUCGGACUGUAAAGCUCUGUCGAGCGGGAAGAAUGUACCAUGGCUAAUAUCCAUGAUAUUUGACGGUACCGCUAGAGG
rnacentral:rRNA from 1 species